CUAGCUUCUCCUUUCUCUCCAUCUUCUCCUUCUCAGCCUCCAUUAUUUUUGCCUUUCAAUUUAUUAACUGAAGAUGGCGAAGCAACGAGCUCGCAGAGAUCCUCAUGAUCUCCAGGAGUUAGGAGUUUCGUUCAUGGCGCUAGGGUUCCAAAUUUAUCUAGCUUCUGUCUAUCUUCCCAAGCAAAUUUCUCUCAUAAUCUCGGAUCUUAUAGGAGUGCCACGGGAUCUAUCUUCUGGAACAACUAAUAAUGAUGCCUGUGAGAAGCUAGCAGUGGUGGGUUUCGGUACGAAGCCUAAUCCCUAUGCAAGUGCUGGAAUAAUGGCCGAGCACGAGCUGGUCAUAUGCUUGCAAAGGUUCUAUGGUCCUAAUUUUCUUGAUACAAAGGUUCUAUGGUCCUAAUGAAGGCCAGGGAAGGUUUAGAUAGCGUACGUGGACAUCAAAACGCUGCAAUUAAGUUGGCUACGACGUUAUCAAACUGGGCUGGUGGAUGAUCAAGAAGCUGCAACAG